GUAAUAAUCCUGUAGUCGAAAAUGUUGUCUCUCUUGAGUGGAUCCUGAGUACGACGGAGCACGUGAAAUUCCGUCGGAAUCUGGGAGGACCAUCUCCUAAGGCUAAAUACUCUCUAGUGACCGAUAGUGAACCAGUACCGUGAGGGAAAGGUGAAAAGCACCCCGGAAGGGGAGUGAAAUAGAACCUGAAACCGUGUGCUUACAAGUAGUCAGAGCCCGUUAAUGGGUGAUGGCGUGCCUUUUGUAGAAUGAACCGGCGAGUUACGAUUUGAUGCAAGGUUAAGCAGUAAAUGUGGAGCCGUAGCGAAAGCGAGUCUGAAUAGGGCGUUUAGUAUUUGGUCGUAGACCCGAAACCAGGUGAUCUACCCUUGGUCAGGUUGAAGUUCAGGUAACACUGAAUGGAGGACCGAACCGACUUACGUUGAAAAGUGAGCGGAUGAACUGAGGGUAGCGGAGAAAUUCCAAUCGAACCUGGAGAUAGCUGGUUCUCUCCGAAAUAGCUUUAGGGCUAGCCUCAAGUGAUGAUUAUUGGAGGUAGAGCACUGUUUGGACGAGGGGCCCCUCUCGGGUUACCGAAUUCAGACAAACUCCGAAUGCCAAUUAAUUUAACUUGGGAGUCAGAACAUGGGUGAUAAGGUCCGUGUUCGAAAGGGAAACAGCCCAGACCACCAGCUAAGGUCCCAAAAUAUAUGUUAAGUGGAAAAGGAUGUGGCGUUGCCCAGACAACUAGGAUGUUGGCUUAGAAGCAGCCAUCAUUUAAAGAGUGCGUAAUAGCUCACUAGUCGAGUGACACUGCGCCGAAAAUGUACCGGGGCUAAACAUAUUACCGAAGCUGUGGAUUGUCCUUUGGACAAUGGUAGGAGAGCGUUCUAAGGGCGUUGAAGCAUGAUCGUAAGGACAUGUGGAGCGCUUAGAAGUGAGAAUGCCGGUGUGAGUAGCGAAAGACGGGUGAGAAUCCCGUCCACCGAUUGACUAAGGUUUCCAGAGGAAGGCUCGUCCGCUCUGGGUUAGUCGGGUCCUAAGCUGAGGCCGACAGGCGUAGGCGAUGGAUAACAGGUUGAUAUUCCUGUACCACCUAUAAUCGUUUUAAUCGAUGGGGGGACGCAGUAGGAUAGGCGAAGCGUGCGAUUGGAUUGCACGUCUAAGCAGUAAGGCUGAGUAUUAGGCAAAUCCGGUACUCGUUAAGGCUGAGCUGUGAUGGGGAGAAGACAUUGUGUCUUCGAGUCGUUGAUUUCACACUGCCGAGAAAAGCCUCUAGAUAGAAAAUAGGUGCCCGUACCGCAAACCGACACAGGUAGUCAAGAUGAGAAUUCUAAGGUGAGCGAGCGAACUCUCGUUAAGGAACUCGGCAAAAUGACCCCGUAACUUCGGGAGAAGGGGUGCUCUUUAGGGUUAACGCCCAGAAGAGCCGCAGUGAAUAGGCCCAAGCGACUGUUUAUCAAAAACACAGGUCUCUGCUAAACCGUAAGGUGAUGUAUAGGGGCUGACGCCUGCCCGGUGCUGGAAGGUUAAGAGGAGUGGUUAGCUUCUGCGAAGCUACGAAUCGAAGCCCCAGUAAACGGCGGCCGUAACUAUAACGGUCCUAAGGUAGCGAAAUUCCUUGUCGGGUAAGUUCCGACCCGCACGAAAGGCGUAACGAUUUGGGCACUGUCUCAACGAGAGACUCGGUGAAAUCAUAGUACCUGUGAAGAUGCAGGUUACCCGCGACAGGACGGAAAGACCCCGUGGAGCUUUACUGUAGCCUGAUAUUGAAAUUCGGCACAGCUUGUACAGGAUAGGUAGGAGCCUUUGAAACGUGAGCGCUAGCUUACGUGGAGGCGCUGGUGGGAUACUACCCUAGCUGUGUUGGCUUUCUAACCCGCACCACUUAUCGUGGUGGGAGACAGUGUCAGGCGGGCAGUUUGACUGGGGCGGUCGCCUCCUAAAAGGUAACGGAGGCGCUCAAAGGUUCCCUCAGAAUGGUUGGAAAUCAUUCAUAGAGUGUAAAGGCAUAAGGGAGCUUGACUGCGAGACCUACAAGUCGAGCAGGGUCGAAAGACGGACUUAGUGAUCCGGUGGUUCCGCAUGGAAGGGCCAUCGCUCAACGGAUAAAAGCUACCCCGGGGAUAACAGGCUUAUCUCCCCCAAGAGUUCACAUCGACGGGGAGGUUUGGCACCUCGAUGUCGGCUCAUCGCAUCCUGGGGCUGUAGUCGGUCCCAAGGGUUGGGCUGUUCGCCCAUUAAAGCGGUACGCGAGCUGGGUUCAGAACGUCGUGAGACAGUUCGGUCCCUAUCCGUCGUGGGCGUAGGAAAUUUGAGAGGAGCUGUCCUUAGUACGAGAGGACCGGGAUGGACAUACCUCUGGUGUACCAGUUGUCGUGCCAACGGCAUAGCUGGGUAGCUAUGUGUGGACGGGAUAAGUGCUGAAAGCAUCUAAGCAUGAAGCCCCCCUCAAGAUGAGAUUUCCCAACUUCGGUUAUAAGAUCCCUCAAAGAUGAUGAGGUUAAUAGGUUCGAGGUGGAAGCAUGGUGACAUGUGGAGCUGACGAAUACUAAUCGAUCGAAGACU
rnacentral:rRNA from 1 species